rnacentral:rRNA from 1 species
UACGAAGGGGGCUAGCGUUGUUCGGAAUUACUGGGCGUAAAGCGCACGUAGGCGGCUUUGUAAGUUAGAGGUGAAAGCCCGGGGCUCAACUCCGGAAUUGCCUUUAAGACUGCACCGCUAGAAUUGUGGAGAGGUAAGUGGAAUUCCGAGUGUAGAGGUGAAAUUCGUAGAUAUUCGGAAGAACACCAGUGGCGAAGGCGACUUACUGGACACAUAUUGACGCUGAGGUGCGAAAGCGUGGGGAGCAAACAGG